rnacentral:rRNA from 1 species
UACGGAGGGUGCGAGCGUUGUCCGGAAUCACUGGGCGUAAAGGGCGCGUAGGCGGCCUGAUAAGUAGGGGGUGAAAUCCUGUGGCUUAACCGCAGGGCUGCCUUCUAAACUGUCGGGCUAGAGCACAGUAGAGGCAGGUGGAAUUCCCGGUGUAGUGGUGGAAUGCGUAGAGAUCGGGAAGAACAUCAGUGGCGAAGGCGGCCUGCUGGGCUGUUGCUGACGCUGAGGCGCGACAGCGUGGGGAGCAAACAGG